rnacentral:lncRNA from 1 species
GACAGAAGUGACACUCCAACCUCUGAAAAGACUGUAAAAACACCUUGCAAUUUCUACCUGAGCCUCUUAAAAGGAUCACUCUUGGGAUGCUGUCUCUGAGGACUGUGGCCAUAUGAAAGGUCUCAGCCACAUGAAAAGGUUAUUGGUUGGUGUUCAGGCAUGUAGCUCCAGCAGAACUCCUAGGAAACAGUCAUCAUCAACUGCCAGCCAUGCCACAUUCCAACUCAACUGAACCUUUAGACGAAUGUAGCCCUAGCCUCUAUUUGACUUCAACUACAAGAGAGAUGCCAAGCUGAGACCAGUUAAGCCACAGAACUCUUUUACCUUCGUUAACUCAAACCUGCACCCAUCUGAAGUGAAACCAGCAACCAUUUAACAGCAAACAGUAGCAGCAGCAUGCACCAAAAGAGAAUGGAAAGUGAAAAGAACACAACAGAUCAUUUUAAAAGUAGUGUGUCAAUUGCCUGGUUCUCCACUGACAGCUAAAAUUAAACAAAAAAGUGAAUUCCGUUCUACAGUGUGACCAUCUUAUGGGAACACUAGAGGAUAUCCAUAGACAGCAGAGAAAAAAUAGCAAAAUAGAUAUUUUGACUCACAGAAAAUGAAUGUUUGCAAAGAUUCACCAAGAAAUAAAGUCAACCAAAAAAGCAAAGUCAUGGAAAAGAAAUGCAAAUCUCCACAAAAGGCAGCUUUUCAGGGCUAUUCCUGUCUACACGCCCUCUGAAUAACCAUCUCAAAAUAUGUUCAAGAAGUAUAUUUUGGAGGUGGCAUUGCAGAUGGGAUCUCAAAGCCAAGUCUCUACAUAUGAUACAGGCAAACAGAUGUUUGUAAGUAAUAUGCUUGUAAGUAAGAUGUCU